CCUAGCCUCCCAGCCUACAUCUUUCUCCCGUGCUGGAUGCUUCCUGCCCUUGAACAUCAGACUCAAAGUUCUUCAGUUUUGGAAAUCAGACUGGCUCUCCUUGCUACUCAGACUGCAGAUGGCCUAUUGUGGGACCUUGUGAUCAUUGCUGCUGUUCAGAAGUCUGAGCUGGAUGUGUAGUUGGUCAUCGUCAGCAUACAGAGGAUAACUGAAGCCACGUGUGGGAGGGAAGAUCACCAACUGGGACACAGAUGCUGAAAAGAAGGCAGCCAAGAAUGAACUCUGAGAAAAGCCAACAUUUAAGGAGUGGAUACGAGAAGAGGCAUUGUGAGCUAGACUGAAAAGGAAUGGCCAGAGUUUUGCAAAUGUAAUCAGAAGUGCAUCAUGAAAACCAACAAAGGGAGCAGUUUCAACAAAUAGGGAUGAUCAGCAACAACCUAAAAUAUUACAGAGAGAUCUAGCAAUACAAGUAUUUCAAAUUGUUCUUCAGAUGUAACAAUAUAUCCAAGUUACUGCACUUUCUUUAACCUUCUAAGAAAGGUUUGUAUCAUUUUUCUAUGUUGGUGGGUGGUGAGGGCCAGGGAGAGGAGUAGGAAACCAGUAGAGAAGAGGACAUAAAAAAGAGAGGAGACAAAUAGAACAUCAAGGUAUUUAGAGAGAAUGGAAGAUAAAGAGCACAAGUGCACAGACAUUACCCUUUACAAACGUAAUGAGCAGUGUUCUCUGGUGAUUAAGGAAAUAGUCAUGAAGGCAAGCAUUUAAUGGAGUUCAUGUCUAGGAGCUUCUAUAUUCUUUGUAAGUAGGAAUCAAGGCCUUUCGCUGAUCGACAAGGAGUGCAGUGAGUUAGCAGCGACAGUAGUAUUGCAACUAUUGAUACCAGUAAAUAGUACCAGUAGUACUGGUCUACUUGUUGUAUGAGGUAUCUCUUUGUAUCUGGAACUGGUGGGUUCUUGGUCUCACUGACUUCAAGAAUGAAGGCCCGGACCCUAGCACUAAGUGUUACAGUUCUUACAGAUGGCAUGUCGCAAGUUUCUUCGCACCGUGAUCUCGCUGACUUCAGGAGUGAACCUGCAGACCUUCGCAGUGAGUGUUACAGCUCUUACAUGCAACGCAUCUGCAGUUGCUCGUCCCUCCCAGCGGGUUCCUCGCUGGCCACAAGAGUGAAGCUACAAACUUUCGUGGUGAGUGUUACAGCUCAUAAAAGCUGUGCAAACCCAAAGAGCACGCACCAGCAAAAUUCAGCACAAAGAGGAAAAGAACAACACUUACACACCACAAAAAGGAACCCCAACCUGUUGCAGCCGCUGGCUCCGGCAGCCUGCUUUUAUUCCCUUAUUUGACCCCACCCACAUCCUACUGAUUGGUCCAUUUUACAGAGAGCUGAUUGGUCCAUUUUACAGAGAGCUGAUUGGUCUGUUUUGACAGGGUGCUGAUUGGUGUGUUUACAAACCUUGAGCUAGACACAGGGUGCUGAUUGGUGCAUUUACAAUCCUCCAGCUAGACAUAAAUGUUCUCCAAGACCCCACCCAACUCAGGAACCCAGCUGGCUUCCCUAGGGGAUCCAGGCGCUGGGGCCCUGGGUGGAGCUGCUUGCCCGUCCUGUGCUGCGCCUGCACAGGUUAGCCCUUCAGCGGUUGAUGGGACCGGGGGCUGUGGAGCAGGGGGCGGUGCCUGUCAGGGAGUCUCAGGCUGCAUGAGAGCCCACAGGGUGGGGGGCUCAGGCAUCGUGAGCUGCAGGUCCCCAGCCCUGCCCCAUGGGGAGGUGGCUCAGGCCCGGUGAGAAUUCAAGUGUGGGGCAGAUGGGCAGGCAGUGCUGGGCGACCUGGCGCACCCUCAGCAGCUGCUGGCCCAGGUGCUAAGCCCCUCACUGCCCGGGCCUGUGGCGCUGGCCCACCGCUCCAAGUGCGGCCCACCGAGCCCACGCCACCCAGAACUGGCGCUGGCCUGCAAAUGCUGGGCGCAUCCCUGGUUCCCGGGCGCAUCCCCGGUUCCCGUGCCUCUCCUUCCACACCUCCCCGCAAGCCGUGGGAGCUCCCGUCCUCGACCAGCCCAGAGAGGGGCUCCCACAGUGCAGCGCGGGCUGAAGGGCUCAAGUAUAGCCAGAGCGGACGCCGAGGCCGAGGAGGCAUUGAGAGCAAAGGAGGGCUGCUAACACGUUGUCACCUCUCAUCUUCUAAUUAGACCAAAGAACAAAAACAUUUGCCUAGAGUAAAUAAUUAGAUUUCCCCCAUUGAUUCCCCAUAAUCAAAAACCAAAAUAAACCUAAGAGAAAGUGUUGCUUCUAUGUCCUUGAAAAGUUGUGAAAAGGAACCAUAGUGCUUUAAUUGCAUGUUUAAGAAUCUAUUACAUUUUCCUUUUAAUGUUAUGAGAUGGAAGUUGUUUGAUGAGUCUCUGGUUCUUUGGGGAAAAUUGUGGUUCCAACCUAGAUUUUUGUAAUUCUAAACUCUAUAAUUAAGGCAAAGACUCAGUUAACAGAAUUUUACAGUUAAAGAAUGAUCAGGGAGCAAAAUUUUGGUCCCUGUAUAGUUUCCUAGGGUGGCUAUAACAAAAUGCCACAAACAUGGCAGAAUUUUAUUGUGUCAUAGUUCUGGAAAAUAGGAGUCCAAGAUUAAGGUGUUGGCAGGUUGAUUCCUUCCGAGUUUUUGAGGGCUGUGAGACAGAAUUCGUUCCAUUCCUUUUCCCCCCGAGCUUUUGCUAGUUUGCUGCAAUCUUUGGCAUUCUUUGGUUUCUAGACACAUCACCUGAUCCCUUGCCUUCAUGUGUAUGUGGUGGUGUCUCUAUUUGAGGGUCUAUGUCUAAAUUUCACCAUUUUGUAAGUACACUAGUUAUACUGAAAUAGGAGCUUCACCAGUAUAAUCUCUUAAUUAAUUAACAUCUUUUAUGGCCUUAUUUUCAAAUAAAGUUAUAUUCUGAAGUACUAGGGGUCCAGACUUCAACAUAUGAAUUUUUGGGGUAACAAGAUUCAACCCAUAAUAGCCCUCUUCCAAACUUCCAAAAUCCCUUUCCAAACAGUCUGUUUCAAAGCUUUUUGGGUCGUGAAAGUGACCUAGGGUAUUUCAAACUCUGUCUAUGAUUAUUACCUUUGUUUUAGUUUUUAUUUUUUCCCAGUUUUUCUGCUUAUGAGAAGAAAAGCAAAGGUGAAAAGGAGGAAGCCAUGUAUGUGAACAACCUAGGAGAAAGGUACUGGCAGCCUAAAGAAACAGAUGUGAGUGGAAUUCUGUUCAAUAUAAGAAGUCUGACUGCCAUUUAAAAAUUCAGGAUUUUAAAAAAUAAGUUUGUUUAAACAACAGGGUCAAAAAUACCAGCUAAUCAAUAAUUGAAAAGAGUUAAGAUUUAGUGAAUGCCAAAUCACUAAAUGCACAAACUAUGCACAAACUAUGCAUCUGACAAAUGCACAAACUAUGCAUCUGACAAAGGUCUAAUAUCCAGAAUGUAUAAGAAACUUAAUUCAACAAGCCAAAAACAACCCCAUUAAAAAGCGAGCAAUCACGCCUGGAAACCCAGCACUUUGGGAGGAUGAGGCAGGUGGAUCACGAAGUCAGGAGUUCGAGACCAGCCUGACCAACAUGGUGAAACCUUUCUCUACUAAAAAUACAAAAAUUAGCAGGGCGUGGUGACGCGCACCUGUAAUCCCAGCUACUCAGGAGGCUGAGGCAGAAGAAUCGCUUGAACCUGGGAGGUGGAGUUUGCAGUGAGCCGAUAUCAUGCCACCGCACUCCAGCCUGGAGUCAACAGAGUGAGACUCUGUCUCAAAAAAAAAGUGGGCAAAAGACAUGAACAGAUGCUUCUCAAAAGAAGACAUAUAAGCGGCCAACAAACAUAGGAAAGAAAUGCUCAGCAUCACCAGUAGUCAGAAAACUGCCAAUCAAAACCAUAAUGAGAUACCAUCUUACACCAGUCAAAAGUCAAAAAGCAAUAGAUGUUGGCAAGGCUGCAGAGAAAAGGGAACACAUAUAUUGUCAGUAAAACGUAAAUUUGUUCAGCCACUGCAGAAAGCAAUUUGGAGAUUCCUCAAGGAAGUAAAAAUAGAAUUAUCAUUCAAUCCAGCAACCCCAUUAGUGGGUAUAUAGCAAAAGGAAAGAAAUGAUUCUACCAAAAGGACACAUGCACUCAUAAGUUCAUCACCACGCUAUUUACAAUAGCAAAGACAUGGAAUCAACCUAGGUGACUGUCAAUGGUAGAUCAAAUAAAGAAAAUGUGGAAUAUAUACACCAUGGAAUACAAUGAAGCCAUAAAAAGGUACAAAAUCAUGCCCUUUGCAGAAAUAUGGAUGGGUCUGGAGGCCAUAACCUUAAGCAAAUUAAUGCAGCAACAGAAAACCAAACACUAUAUGUUCUCACAUUUAGGUGUGAGCUAAACAUUGAGCACACGUGGAUAUAAACAUGGGAAAAAUAGACACUAGGGAGGAAGAGAGGGGUGCAUGAGUUAAAAAAUACCUAUUGUGUACUAUGCCCACUACCUGGGUGAUGGGAUCAUUCGUACACCAAAACUCAGCAUCAUGCAAUAUACCCAUGUAGCAAACAUGCACAUGUACCCGUGAAUCUAAAAUAAGUCAAAAUUAUUUUUUAAAAAUUAGUGAAUGUAAUCCUGAUAAAAUUAAUAGAAUUUUAGAGUUGAAAAGAAUCUUAGGAAUUAUCUAUUUUAAUAUCUUAAUUUGCCACAUCAUAUUAUAGAAGGUCAGAGAGGUGGCAAAGUUAGACCCAGAAAUCAUUUCUCCAGAUUUCUAAUACAGUGGUUCUUCUUCUGUCUCUUAUGACACCCAGUGUGUUCUACAUGACAAUAAAUCAAUCAGUAAAUACCUGCUAAAAAUCCUUAAUUAUGAAAGAAGGCAAAAUAUAAGGCAUGACUGACGCUUCAAAGAAGCUUACAAUUUUGUUAGAGAAAUAAGACAAGUACACUAUAUGAAGAUGAUAGUAGGUAAUUUUAGGUUAUUGUCUUUCUGGAUGAGAACUGCCUCCUGCAUCCAGAUCUCUAGGACUUUAGAACUUUUUUCCCAUAUGACCCCCAUAUUCUGGCCACAGGUGAUUGGUUUAGAGAUUGGCAUGUGACCCAUGAUGGGCCAAUUAUAGUAUCUCAUCCCCCUCCCACUCUGGUAAUUGACCAAGGGAUGGGUAUCUAAUCCAAGCCAGGCCAAUCAAAGUAUUUGCCUAAGAAACUGAAUGAAUCCAUACCUUUCCGGUGAGAGAAGCUUUAAAACAUAAAACUCAGUUUCUGUUCUUGGCUCUGUUUCUUGUCAUAUGGACAAAGGUCAGCCUUCGUAAUAGAGAAUGGAAGUGACUAAAGGAAGUAGAAACAAAGGAGAGAGAGAGAAUGUGUAAGUUCCUGGUUUCGACCGCUCUUGAAAUUAGCUGUACCUUGACCUUCCCACACUUUCAGUCUUUACUGGGAUCUAAUAAGUAUUUACCACAUGUUAAGCACUAAUCUAAGCAUUUCACAAUAAGAACCCAUUUAAUCCUCACAACAAUCCUGUGAGGUAAGAAUCAUUACUACUCUGAUAUUACAGAAACUAAAAAACAGAUUUAGUAAUUUGCUUAAGAUCACACUACUGGUAAAAGUAAUCAAGCCUGGAUUCAAAUUCAGGCAGUGUGUACCAGAACCUGCUCUUUCAACCAGAAUGUCAUAUAUAUUUCUGUUAUACGUUGCAUUGCACUAAGUUGCAGUCAUUUAUCUCCAUGUCUGUCUUCCAUGCUAAUCUGUGACCUCACUAAAGUCAAGGGCUAUAUUUAACUUCUUUUUGUAUCUUUAAGGCCUACUACAGCACCUGGUUAAUAGUCAGUAGGGCACUCAGCAAAUGCUUGUUGGACUAUUGGUAACCCGGGAAAACUGAGGUUACCAGUACCUGACACCAACAUACCUAAUAAAGCUACCUAAUAAAGGCAAUAACACUGUGGUAAGUGUUUAACUCAUUAACUUAAACGUGAGAUAAUAAAAAAUGUUAAACCUUCAUCCUCUUAAGUUUCUAAAUUUUUCCUUAUGGCAAAAUAUAUAUAAAAUAAAAUUUACCUUUUUAACCACUUUUAAGUACACAAUUCAGUGGCACUAAAUACAUUCACACUUUUGUGCAACCAUCACCCCCAUCCAUCUCUAGAACAUUUUAAUCUUCCCAAACUGAAACUCUACCCAUUAAAAAUAACUUCCCAUUCUCACCUCUCCCCAGUUCCUGGCAACCACCAUUCAACUUUCUGUCUCUAUGAAUCUGACUCCUAUGGGUGCCUCAUAAAAAUUGACCCAUACAAUAUUUGUGUCCUUUUGUGACUGGCUUGUUCCACAUAGUAUAAUGUCUUCAAGGUUCAUCCACGUUGUAGCAUGUGUCAAAAUUUCCUUCCUUCCUCUUUAAGGCUGAAUAAUAUUCAAUUGCACAUAUAU
rnacentral:lncRNA from 1 species